rnacentral:rRNA from 1 species
AUUGAACGCUGGCGGCAGGCCUAACACAUGCAAGUCGAGCGGAUGACGGGAGCUUGCUCCUGGAUUCAGCGGCGGACGGGUGAGUAAUGCCUAGGAAUCUGCCUGGUAGUGGGGGACAACGUUUCGAAAGGAACGCUAAUACCGCAUACGUCCUACGGGAGAAAGCUGGGGACCUUCGGGCCUUGCGCCAUCAGAUGAGCCUAGGUCGGAUUAGCUAGUUGGUGAGGUAAUGGCUCACCAAGGCGACGAUCCGUAACUGGUCUGAGAGGAUGAGCAGUCAACCUGGAACUGAGACACGGUCCAGACUCCGACGGGAGGCAGCAGUGGGGAAUAUUGGACAAUGGGCGAAAGCCUGAUCCAGCCAUGCCGCGUGUGUGAAGAAGGUCUUCGGAUUGUAAUGCACUUUAAGUUGGGAGGAAGGGUUGUAGAUUAAUACUCUGCAAUUUUGACGUUACCGACAGAAUAAGCACCGGCUAUCUCUGUGCCAGCCGCCGCAGUAAGAC